UACGUAGGCAGCGAGCGUUGUUCGGAGUUACUGGGCGUAAAGAGUGCGUAGGCGGUUUUCUACGUUUGGUGUGAAAUCUCCCGGCUUAACUGGGAGGGUGCGCCGAAAACUGGAAGGCUUGAGUAUGGGAGAGGUAAGCGGAAUUCCUGGUGUAGCGGUGAAAUGCGUAGAUAUCAGGAGGAACACCUGCGGUGUAGACGGCUUACUGGACCAUAACUGACGCUGAGGCACGAAAGCGUGGGUAGCAAACAGG
rnacentral:rRNA from 1 species